GCAGAGGCUUCGACGGGCCAACAGGGGACCCCGGACUUCCAGGGCUACGGGGACCAGGAGCCAUCGCUGGACCUCCAGGACCAAUAGGUGAACCAGGUCACUCUGGACCCCCAGGAUGCCCCGGUAAUAUGGGUGAUCCUAGUUGUAACCCCGGCCCGAAAGGACC